rnacentral:rRNA from 1 species
CAGCGCCGCUAGUGGGAAUCGUAUAUUUGGUCUAAAGCGUCCGUAGCCGGACAGGCAAAUCUUCUGUGAAAUUGGGAAGCUUAACUUUCCAGCGUGCAGAAGACACUACCAGUCUUGGAACCGGGAGGGGUACAGAGUAUUCCAGGGGAAGCGGUAAAAUGCUAUAAUCCCUGGAGGACUACCUAUGGCGAAGGCACUGUACCAGAACGGAUUCGACGGUGAGGGACGAAAGCCAGGGGAGCGAUCCGGAUUAGAUACCCGAGUAGUCC